AAUAACAAGAAUUUAUCCUGAUCAAUGGCCAUAACCUCACUUUCAGUCUGGUGUGAUGGGCCAUCACAGAUGGGCUGCUCAUUUCAUGCACAGAUAAAAAAGUGUGUAGCUGUGUUGCCUCUUCAUCUCCCUAUAUAAUAUUAAAAAAAAAAACAACGAAAAUCAAAAGAGGGAACAACUUCAUGACUCACUUGAAUCAAAGUGUGAAACAUGAUAUGUCAAGAACUAUGUAAUGUUUUGAACAACCAACAAUAAAAAUUAAAAAAUAAAUAAAUAAAAGAUUUUAAUCUAAAAAAAAGAAGCACACACAAAACAACAAAAGAGGGAACAACUGACCAAAAAAAAAAUGAUAGUGCAAAAGGCUGGGGGGUGUGGCUCAAAGGUAGAGCACUUGCCUAGCAUGUGGGAGGCCCUGAGUGAUGUCCGUAGCACCAAUAAAUAAAUAAAUAGAUAGAUAGAUAGAAGAUAGAUAAAUAAAUAAAUAAAUAAAAGUGCAACAAAGAAACAAAAAAGUGAAAAAAACUGGACGUGACAUUAGAAUGAAACAUAUAGAAGAUAUAACUGAUACUCACCGUUCUGGAGACUGUAGACACACAGCCAGAGGGACAUAGGGAAGGUGGAUAAUUUACCAAUGAAAAUGAGAAAAGUGCUUGUAAUAAAAAGGAUGAAGAUGGGGCUGAGGUUGUGGCUCAGUGGUAGAGCGUUUGCCUUGCCUCUGUGAGGCACUGGGUUCAAUCCUCCACACCACAUAAAAUAAAUAAAUAAAUAAGUAAACAAAGAUGUUCAACUAAAACAAGUUAAAAAAAAAAAGAAAGAAAAAAAGGAUGAAGAUGUCCCGGAGUACGUGACACUGGCAAGAACUUCCAUGGAAGUAACUCUUGAGAUAUUUCCCAACAUUGGACACAGAAAGGAUAAAAUAUUGAAAUCUGAUCCAAAUUUAGAGAAGAAUAUGGUGAUGGUGAUUUAUCAAGACAUAGAAAAGAUGAUUACCCCAUAUUGUAAGUUUUAUUAUGAGAAAUUCCAUCUACCCUAGGUUAAGGUUUUUAGGAAGAGGGAUAAAAAAUUUAAAAAUGUAUUAGAAUUACUAAAUAAAUGUUAGUUUUUAUUCAUUUUUUAUUUCCCUUACAUUUAUAACUGGCAUAAAGGAUUUUAAAUGUCUUUUGGCAAACAAUCUUAAAGGUCACAGAACAUUUAUAAUUUUUCCCAUUGAUGAUUCGGAUUGCUUUGCAUGGUUUUAGCUUAAGUGGUCAUUUUUACUGUUCUUCACUAUGGUGGAAAGCAAGGACUGCCUGUGUGUGUGUGUGUAUGUGUGUGUGUGUGUGUGUGUGAGAGAGAGAGAGAGAGAGAGAGAGAGACUGUGAAUGUGUGAGAGUGCCUUAUGUAUGUGUAUAAGAGUGUGAUUGUGUGUGAAUGCCUGUGAGUGUGUAUGAUGAAUUUUUGCACUUUGAUGUAUCAAAUAACAGGACCAUCUGAAUGUGCCUCUUUAAAUUUGCUGUUGCCUUUCACCUUCUUGAUUUUGUUGUUUUUUUUUUUCCCUCAGCCUCAGACUUACUGAGUUAGAAUUCCUUUGUGAAAUUUUCUCUUAAUAACUUACCUGCAUUUUAAAGAAUUGUAAAGACAGUAAAAAAUUAAGUAAACACUUCAAGUUAAAUUUCACUUGUCUUUCUGUUUUUUUGUAUAGAAAUGUGUGAUAAUUCCUUCGUGUUUUUCUUAGUGAUAGUCAUAAUUAUAAUCAUCACAGUAGCAGUAACAUUUGUUGAACAUUUAGUAUGUGUCAGCUGCUUUUCAAAGCCCUCCAUUUAUACUUUUCUUCUACUCAACAGAUAACUACCCAGGGAAAAAAGCCUUUUGCAUAUCAAUUAUUGUAAAUGUAAUAUAUCUUAGUGUUUUUCUCACCAAGGCAAGGGGCUCACAGAGCACAGGAAAGGAUCGAUUGAUCACCUAAUACUUCUGCUCAUUUCAGGCAAUCAAGUGGCUCCAGUAACCUGGGAAUUGCUGCAAGCUCUGGCCACUGAAAUCACCAAGGGGAGCUAACGUGUGCUUUCAUCUUCUACUUACUAACAAUAUACUGGGUGACUCAGUUGUGUGAUAUAAAAGACUUAAACAUGGAAAAUGAGCCAGGCUAGUGCCUGGAGAUACUAGCAGUGCAUGAUAAUUAAACUCUCCAAAUUCUCCCAUAGAAAACUCAAUGAGCUGUAUUUACUUCUUUCUGGCAUUAUAAAAAUUAUGUAUCCUUUUAUGUGCACAGACAGUUCCUUAGGGACAAGAGUUAUGCAUGCUCAUUAACAGAAGAAUAUGUACCACAGCAGGUACUGCAUGCUAAGCCCAAGACUUAUGACCCUAUUGUCCACAUGACUGGCAAGCAUAGCUUUUCCAUUGUGGUGGUGAAUGAGAGGAUGAAGAGAUAAUGAUGACAAUGAAAGAGGUUAAUUUAAAUGUUCUUGCUCCAGACUUCAGUUAAAUAUUCAGAUACAUUUCAAAUUAUGUAUGCUUCUUCAAAGGUUGGAAACCGUGUGAUGGAAGCAUUACUAUCUUUACUUAAUUUCCUGUGUUUUGAAAUGCAGGAUGCUUUUGGAACUCGGUGUUAGAAUUGGCAAAGCACACUGCCCUGGCUGUGAACCUUGAGUGCUGGUUUUAAGUCUUUCAGUCUAAAAAGACUUCAGCCGGUUCUCAUUGGUCUUUCUAGACCGACUUUCCCUGGCUCUGUGGGCAAGUAUAUUAGCAUAAUCUUUGCCUAAAGAUUUCUACUUGGUCAACUGUUCCCUAUAGUCCUUUUCAGUUUGGAAGAAUGAAAUAGAUGCGGUCACUUUGAUGUUGGCAUCUUCAUGAUAAUUAUUAUUUUCAAGGACUCAGGUCCUUUGUGUCAUUUACUAUUAUGAUCAAUGUAUAUAUUGUGUAAAGGCCUAAUUCACAAGAAUUAUCAUGAAAAUUGUUUCCUUGGCUAUCUAUACAUUAAAGAUCUCAAGCAAUCAGCAAAUAUAUACAUAUAAAUUUCUUUUUAUGCUGGGGGGAAGAAAUAAUUCAAAGAAAGAAAAGGAUGCUGCUUGGAAUUAUAUCAUUUGGAAACCUAGAUGGCAAAGAGAAAGGGUGAAUUAUUACACUUAAUGCUUAAAAGAAAUAAGAAGUAUGAAACUUUUGGUCCCAAAUUAAGUAACAUAAAUUACAAGAGACUUUGUUGUGGCAUGUUGCCUUAGAUUGGAUUCCUCAGAGGUGGAACUCUGAGGGAAAAGCUUAAGAGACAGCUAAGCAGGAGUGAGGGAGUUAUCCUUCUCAAGUAAAGUCCCCGGAAGAUGGCCUUCAGCCUAAUCCUGCAGAAUGAUUCUGGAAAAUGAAUGAUAUGUCUGUGUGUUGAAGGGUGAAGUUCCUCACUCCAUAAUUAUUGUCAAUCCCGUAUCUAUACAGAGGGUCAUAGAGCCUCAGGCCCUUUCUACUUUCUGUACCUGAUGCAAAGGGGCUUUAGCAGAUUGAGAGUUGUUCUCCUAAAAUCUGCGUGAGUGUGUCAUCUGCCCAUCAAAAGAAGCAGAUUACAAAUUCAAGGGGCAGGUGCCUGCAGAAAAGGUAAAAAGGAAUGGGAGGAGGAUUGGCCAUUGUCUGGUAUAAGAUCAUUGUAAAUUAGAGAUGCAUAAAAAUCCAAUAAGGAUGUUUCGAAUCUUUUCUGGUUUAUCAGAUUGAAGGAAAAAAAUCAGAUCAGCCAGAUUAGGAAUACUUGUUUGUUGCUUUUUUGUUCAUUGUAAAACAAAACUUGUUAUUUAUUGAGCACCUACUGUAUAAGUCAGGUGAUUUAAGUGCAUUAUCUCAUUAAUCCUCAGAGAAGUGGAGAUGGCUUGUUAGAGACUGCAGAUGUAGAAGUCUUCAAAAAAUGAUUGCCAAAUAGGUAAAUGAAUAAGUGAAUGGAUAUGUUGUAUUGAUUAAACACAGGCUGUCUGUAUACAUAUAUUAUAUUUAUCUCAUGGAAGUAUAGCUGAUUUAUGAUGUUGCAGAGCUGGGGCUUUCCUAGAAACAGGCAACAUGAAGACUCCCUCUUAAAACUCUGAUGCUUGUGAUCAAGUCAGAACUAUUUCAGACAUGUCAUUCAAAGUCACAGGAAUUGUUUAUUGAAGGGAUCAGAAAAGGGAGAGGGGAAUUCUCAAGGGAGAGAGUGGGUCCUCUCAGAGAGGAGAGGGACGAUGUGCUUCUUCUGCACUCCACUUUUAUUGGGGAUUCCAGAGAAGUUUCCAGAGAGGCCCACCCAGGUUCAUCUCUUGAGUUUUGAUUAUGUGCUUUUUCUACCUAGUGCUCUUUCCCAUGGUAUUCUGUUUGUUGGAACUUGUGUCUUUAACUGGGUUAUUGAUACGUAGUUAUCUCUUAUUCAAGGUUGUGCUUUCUGUAGUUUCAGUUACAUGUAGUCCAGUCUGGCCCAAAUCAUAUUAAGUGGAAAAUUCCAUAAAUAAACAAUUCACAAAUUUU
rnacentral:lncRNA from 1 species